ACCAGCAGUGGAUACAAACUCAUGACCUAAUCUGAUUAGGUCAGCUUAAAGGCAUCAAUUAAUCAGAAUACCUUCUAAUUAAUUUUUAAAUUAAACUCUUUUAGUUCUUACAGGUCCACAAAUCAAGAUUAAUAUCUAACAAUAUAUCAUAACUAUCCAAAAGAUAUAAAAUUUUAUAAAAAUUAUUGAAAAAUAUAUCC
rnacentral:lncRNA from 1 species